CACGGGGGGAGCAAGCGUUGUUCGGAAUUACUGGGCGUAAAGGGUGUGCAGGCGGGGGUGCAAGUGGGGUGUGAAAUCUCCCGGCUUAACCGGGAGGGGUUAUGCCAGACUGCAAUUCUAGAGGACGAGAGAGGGGGGUGGAAUUCCGGGUGUAGUGGUGAAAUGCGUAGAGAUCCGGAGGAACCCCAGAGGCGAAGGCGGCCCCCUGGCUCGUACCUGACGCUCAGCCACGAAAGCAUGGGGAGCGAACGGG
rnacentral:rRNA from 1 species